rnacentral:rRNA from 1 species
UACGAAGGGUGCUAGCGUUGUUCGGAAUUACUGGGCGUAAAGCGCGCGUAGGCGGCUAUUCAAGUCAGAGGUGAAAUCCCUGGGCUCAACCCAGGAAUUGCCUUUGAAACUGUAUAGCUUGAGUACUGGAGGGGAUAGCGGAAUUCCUAAUGUAGAGGUGAAAUUCGUAGAUAUUAGGAGGAACACCAAUGGCGAAGGCAGCUCGCUGGGACGGUACUGACGCUGAGACGCGAAAGCGUGGGGAGCAAACAGG